AGCGCCGUGGCGUAGUGGUAAGCGCACCAGCCUGUAACCCAGAGGUAAUGAGUUCAAGGCUCUUCGCUGCUA
rfam:Ciona intestinalis ciona0417, whole genome shotgun sequence.